rnacentral:misc_RNA from 1 species
GCAAACUUGGUCAUUUAGAGGAAGUAAAAGUCGUAACAAGGUUUCCGUAGGUGAACCUGCGGAAGGAUCAUUAACAAUUAUCCUCUACAUUGGAUAAUUUUAUCCAUACCCACCUUGUGUGAAUCAUUGAACUGUCUGUUGGCAGGCUUAACACUCUUUACAACGGAGAGCUAUGUGGGUUGGCAUUGAAUUAUUUUUCAUAUGCAUAGGAAACCCGGCCUGCCAAUUUUAUUUUUUGUAAAACUUUUCUAAAAUAUCGCUGGUCUGAAAUAUAUUAUGUAUAAAUAAAUACAACUUUCAACAACGGAUCUCUUGGCUCUCGCAUCAAUGAAGAACGCAGC